GGCCCUGUAGUCUAAUGGUAAAACAACUCCCUUACGCGGAGUGGUCCCAAGUUCGAUUCUUGGCAGGGCCA
rnacentral:tRNA from 1 species